AAAAAAACAUGUUAAUACCCUGAAAUUAAUCAUGUUCUAAUCUAGUUCUGUUACAGAAACUCGAAAACUUUCAUCACAUAGCGCCAUUGGUAAGUAGUCACCAGGAGCUAAUAAACAAGUCUCUCACCAGAUGCUGUGCAUCGUCACAUGCCGAAUAAUAGUACAAGUUUUACAAAACAAUAAAACUUGUAUUAUUGAGCAGAGACGAUGCACAGCAUCCCAAGAAGGCCUCCUGGUGAGCUCUCUAUGAAGAACUCCGAGCAAGCUCGCCCCCAGGUGACUAAAAUGGCGGCAAACGGAAGUAAGUCAAAUCAAUUCC